rnacentral:lncRNA from 1 species
AAAUAAUGAACAAUAAAAUAAUGAACAAUAAAAUAAUGAAUAAUAAAAUAAUGAACAAUAAAAUAAUGAACAACAAAAUACUUAAUAGUAAAAAUUUUAAACUACAAAAAAAAAAUUUAUUAAAACAAUGUUAAAAAAAAAAGAACGUCAUAAAAUAAGCAUUAUCGUUCUAAAUUAGCGUAACCAUAAGGAAACAAAACGUUUCAAAAAAUGUGGUACAUUUAUAAGUAAAAUUAUAUAAGUUUUUUUAUUUUUUUGUACUUUUUGUUUUCUCCCUUGUUCGCAUCUUAUUUUUCUCUCGCUUUUAUUUUUAUUUUUUUUUUAUUUUUAUUUUUUUUGUUUUUAAUUUGUGUUAAAAAACAUACGUUAUAAUUUACAAAAACAAAAUGUUUAGUAAACUUAUGUUUUAUAGAAAACUUUGAAAUUUUUCAGAAAAAAAAAAAAAAAAAAAAAAUGAUAUCUUCUUUUUUAUUGAAGAGAAAAGUAGUUGAAAAUAUCUGUAAGAACAUGUUUAGAAUGUUAGGUAAACGUAACUUACAUGACAAAACAUAUAUAGAACAAACAAACAUAUAUGAUAACUAUGAAAUAUUAAAAAAAUUUAAAAACAAGAACACGUUGAAAUAUUCGUUGAAAAAAUUUAGAGAAAUAGUUCAAAAAGAAACCCAAAAAAAGGCUUAUAAUUUUUAUAAAGGAUGGCCACCAAGAGACAGAAUAAAAAUUACAGAUGACGAAAAGGUACUUUAUAUAUUUAGCUAGUAAUAUAAAUAAUUUCCGUGUUUUUGCUCAUGUAUAUAUAUAUAUAUAUAUUUACAUAGUGUGCUUAUAAAAAAGGGG